rnacentral:rRNA from 1 species
ACGGGAGGCAGCAGUGGGGAAUCUUGCGCAAUGGGCGAAAGCCUGACGCAGCGACGCCGCGUGAGCGAUGAAGGCCUUCGGGUUGUAAAGCUCUGUGGAGGGGGACGAAUAAGGGCCGUCGAAUAGGCGGCCCGAUGACGGUACCCCUUUAGCAAGCACCGGCUAACUCUGUGCCAGCAGCCGCGGUAAGACAGAGGGUGCAAACGUUGUUCGGAAUUACUGGGCGUAAAGCGCGUGUAGGCGGCUUGGCAAGUCGGAUGUGAAAGCCCUGGGCUUAACCUAGGAAGUGCAUUCGAAACUGCCUGGCUGGAGUUCUGGAGAGGAAGGCGGAAUUCUCGGUGUAGAGGUGAAAUUCGUAGAUAUCGAGAGGAACACCGGUGGCGAAGGCGGCCUUCUGGACAGCAACUGACGCUGAGACGCGAAAGCGUGGGGAGCAAACAGGAUUAGAUACCCUGGUA